GUAGAGGUGGUCCUUCAAAGGAGAGACAGGUUACAUCUAUUUGAGAAUUAGAAAAGACUCUAGGGAGAGAGUACAAUUUGAAAAUGCAUCUUGAGGGAUGGGCAGCUUUUAACAGGUGUGGAGAGAAGAGGUGGUAACCACUCUGCAUAGAAAAAAAAAAACCCAGCAUAAUCAGAGUCAUGGUAGUUAUUCACUAGUGGGGAAACAUCUGAUUAAACUGAAAACAGAGUGGAUGAAUUGGAAAAUAUAAGCAGAAGUGUUUAGGGUUAUAUUGUGGGAAGAUGUUGAAAGGUAGUUUGAAGAAUUCAGUAGGUAACAGAGAAGCCAUGCAAGACCUUAUUACAGGAAUGACAUAAUUAGCUCUGCCAAAUUAAUCCAGCAAUGGUGUGUAAGUGGGUUGGGGCAAAGAAUGAGGGGAAUGAAAAGGUUUGGGAAUUUUGCCCACAUGUCAAGCGUACACCCUGGGGUUCCAAUCUCUUUCUUCCUACUUCUGAUGCAAGUCAGGCUUGCAUCAGAGCAGUGAAUAAUCAAACUUAAUUCCUACAUUUGCCCUAUCUAUUGAUUUUCAAAAGCCAGCUCUAACCUUCUCUCCGUUUUUGGACCAUUAGAAAUGCAUCCUCUUCUCCCAUUGCACUUAAUUUGUGGUAUGCAUUUUUUCUUCUUCCUAGACAAAAGAUCUCCUUGAGGACAAGGCCCACAUCUUCUCCCAAGUUGUGUUUGUUGUAUUGACCAGCACAAUGUCUGGCAUAUAGUAAACUCUAAAUGAUUCAAGG
rnacentral:lncRNA from 10 species